CAGGACCUGAGCGUGGGACAGGAAGACUGGGGUCCAGAACGCCAGCGCCCCCGUCAUGAAGGCCAUGGCAGUGACGCCCAGCGAGGACAACACGAAACUGCGGCUGUGUGAGACAAACACUGCAAAUGGAGCUCUGAGAUCCUCACCUUCCGACCGGGAUGAAUAUGUAGAAGAGAGACAGCAUCCACGUCCUCAGAGCUCCAGUGAAGAGGUCCCCGAUAAUGGUGGGGGCGAUGGUGGAGUAGCUGGCCUCUCCAACCCCCACCAGUCCCCUAGUCACGACCAGCAACCAGAAGUGCUGAAAGAGAAGCAUGCUGGGUCCCUUAUUCACCAUGGCAUAGUGCUUGUUGCUUCCACCAUGCUGAAUGGCUAGACUACCAUUAAGAAGUGAAUUGCAUGUGUGGGUGUCACAAAGACGGCUGCAGUGGGUGACGUCAGACCAGAAAACAGGAACACACACAGAGACUUGGGGUUUUGGUGAAGCUGAGCGUGUGAUCACGCCCAAUUAACAGACAGAACAGAAAAUAAAAAGGUUGUAACACAAAACAGGACAUGGCACUUGAGCCAAAAUAAACAGACAAACAAAACGUACUAACACACAAAACAAGUGGACGAACGUUAAACAAGUACCGUGCUGGCACUUCCAGCACGCUGUAGCAAUUGUUUUUUCCUAAUAAUCUAUCUCCUCUCUCUCUCACCCAUUCUCCACUCACGAACACCCAACCCCGAGUGAAUGAAACGUGCAUCUAUAUAUACUGUUGUGCCGGGAUUCAAUUACUAAUUAAUUAUUCACUUGAAUCCCAGCACAUGAAUUAAUUACGUGCAACCUCGUGCUCACAUAUUAAAUACUUUAAAUGCACGUGAAGUGAUGUGCAAUCCUCGUGCUUAAAUACAAUUACAUCUUAAAUAACUCGUGCUGCACACAUCCAUUUAUAUAUCGUGCAGCCAUCUCUAUACACCAACAUUAACACACGCAUGCAACAUACAACACACAAAUGCACACAGGGGCGGGGCACAUUGCCACAGUGGGUUAUUAAAGUCAUCAAUUAAAUUAGACUCAGAUUUUUCCAAGAUUUUCCAGUUCCAGUGGUUUGAUUUCAUAUGCACAACAAAUCAAAACUACAGAAGCUAUGGGGUGUUCUAAUCAAUGUGCACAGUGCUGUACUUUCAGUGGCAUAUUCCUGUCAUGAAAAUACAAAUCAUUAUAACAGUCUAUCUUUCCUUUUCACCUCUUCACCUCUUCAGCUCAUUCCUGUAGCGCUAGAUUGAAUACAGAACUGAAGAAGGCCUCUGGAGCAAGAGCCUUGAUGUUUAAUUUACUCUUUGAGCUUCACUGUGUCUCUCGUGACUAGGAAUAAGGAAACGAAGGAGAAAGACAAUUCCGACUGAACUUUAACACAGGCUAGAGUCAAUGAUCAAUAAAAGAAUUUGAUAAUGAUUGAAUUGCACGCAUCAUAAUAAGGUAAGUGACUGAAACCAAAAAGAAAUGUCAUGUAAUUUACUCUUUAGGGAUAUGCAGGUGUGUUUAUAUAAAAAGGGUGGUAAUGCUAGUUUACUAUACUGUACAUUUUGGGUAAACCUAUUAAUGCAUCAUUAAUUCCUGCUCCCUCUUCAUUUAGCUGUCAAACUAAAUGGUGAAAUAUUGAAAACAGUGAUUUAGUGAAGGUAUUUUGCACAGUACACUAGAACACUUGUACAAUUUACUGUCAGCCUGCACUAACAGUGAAUUAAGCGAAUGUGCGUGUUAUCGAAUGAUGAAAUAUCGAGGGAGGACUGUUCUUUCCGUUGUGCUGUCCCAUACUCCUCAUGGUUGCCUAUGCUGUACCAUGCCUUCUCUGUGCUUUACUACAAUUUGCUUGGAAAGUACCAGGGUUGCCAUACCGACUGA